GACGAACGCUGGCGGCGUGCUUAACACAUGCCAGUCGAACGGAAAGGCCCUGCUUUUGUGGGGUGCUCGAGUGGCGAACGGGUGAGUAACACGUGAGUAACCUGCCCUUGACUUUGGGAUAACUUCAGGAAACUGGGGCUAAUACCGGAUAGGAGCUCCUGCUGCAUGGUGGGGGUUGGAAAGUUUCGGCGGUUGGGGAUGGACUCGCGGCUUAUCAGCUUGUUGGUGGGGUAGUGGCGUACCAAGGCUUUGACGGGUAGCCGGCCUGAGAGGGUGACCGGCCACAUUGGGACUGAGGUACGGCCCAGACUCCUACGGGAGGCAGCGGUGGGGAGUAUUGCACAGUGGGCGGGAGCCUGAUGCAGCAACGCCGCGUGCGGGAUGACGGCCUUCGGGCUGUAAACCGCUUUCGCCUGUGACGAAGCGUGAGUGACGGUAAUGGGUAAAGAAGCACCGGCUAACUACGUG
rnacentral:rRNA from 1 species